GGUUAAGCGACUAAGCGUACACGGUGGAUGCCCUGGCAGUCAGAGGCGAUGAAGGACGUGCUAAUCUGCGAAAAGCGUCGGUAAGGUGAUAUGAACCGUUAUAGCCGGCGAUGUCCGAAUGGGGAAACCCAGUGCAAUUCGUUGCACUAUCGUUAACUGAAUACAUAGGUUAACGAGGCGAACCGGGGGAACUGAAACAUCUAAGUACCCCGAGGAAAAGAAAUCAACCGAGAUUCCCCCAGUAGCGGCGAGCGAACGGGGAGCAGCCCAGAGUCUGAAUCAGCUUGUGUGUUAGUGGAACGGUCUGGAAAGUCCGACGGUACAGGGUGAUAGUCCCGUACACCAAAAUGCACAGGUUGUGAACUCGAAGAGUAGGGCGGGACACGUGGUAUCCUGUCUGAAUAUGGGGGGACCAUCCUCCAAGGCUAAAUACUCCUGACUGACCGAUAGUGAACCAGUACCGUGAGGGAAAGGCGAAAAGAACCCCGGCGAGGGGAGUGAAAAAGAACCUGAAACCGUGUACGUACAAGCAGUGGGAGCACCUUCGGGUGUGACUGCGUACCUUUUGUAUAAUGGGUCAGCGACUUAUAUUCUGUAGCAAGGUUAACCGUAUAGGGGAGCCGCAGGGAAACCGAGUCUUAACUGGGCGUUAAGUUGCAGGGUAUAGACCCGAAACCCGGUGAUCUAGCCAUGGGCAGGUUGAAGGUUGGGUAACACUAACUGGAGGACCGAACCGACUAAUGUUGAAAAAUUAGCGGAUGACUUGUGGCUGGGGGUGAAAGGCCAAUCAAACCGGGAGAUAGCUGGUUCUCCCCGAAAGCUAUUUAGGUAGCGCCUCGUGAAUUCAUCUUCGGGGGUAGAGCACUGUUUCGGCUAGGGGGUCAUCCCGACUUACCAACCCGAUGCAAACUACGAAUACCGAAGAAUGUUAUCACGGGAGACACACGGCGGGUGCUAACGUCCGUCGUGAAGAGGGAAACAACCCAGACCGCCAGCUAAGGUCCCAAAGUCAUGGUUAAGUGGGAAACGAUGUGGGAAGGCACAGACAGCCAGGAUGUUGGCUUAGAAGCAGCCAUCAUUUAAAGAAAGCGUAAUAGCUCACUGGUCGAGUCGGCCUGCGCGGAAGAUGUAACGGGGCUAAACCAUGCACCGAAGCUGCGGCAGCGACACUAUGUGUUGUUGGGUAGGGGAGCGUUCUGUAAGCCUGCGAAGGUGUGCUGUGAGGCAUGCUGGAGGUAUCAGAAGUGCGAAUGCUGACAUAAGUAACGAUAAAGCGGGUGAAAAGCCCGCUCGCCGGAAGACCAAGGGUUCCUGUCCAACGUUAAUCGGGGCAGGGUGAGUCGACCCCUAAGGCGAGGCCGAAAGGCGUAGUCGAUGGGAAACAGGUUAAUAUUCCUGUACUUGGUGUUACUGCGAAGGGGGGACGGAGAAGGCUAUGUUAGCCGGGCGACGGUUGUCCCGGUUUAAGCAUGUAGGCUGAUUGUCCAGGCAAAUCCGGAUAAUCAAGGCUGAGGUGUGAUGACGAGGCACUACGGUGCUGAAGUAACAAAUGCCCUGCUUCCAGGAAAAGCCUCUAAGCAUCAGGUAACAUCAAAUCGUACCCCAAACCGACACAGGUGGUCAGGUAGAGAAUACCAAGGCGCUUGAGAGAACUCGGGUGAAGGAACUAGGCAAAAUGGUGCCGUAACUUCGGGAGAAGGCACGCUGGUGUGUAGGUGAAGUCCCUGCGGAUGGAGCUGAGACCAGUCGAAGAUACCAGCUGGCUGCAACUGUUUAUUAAAAACACAGCACUGUGCAAACACGAAAGUGGACGUAUACGGUGUGACGCCUGCCCGGUGCCGGAAGGUUAAUUGAUGGGGUUAUCCGUAAGGAGAAGCUCUUGAUCGAAGCCCCGGUAAACGGCGGCCGUAACUAUAACGGUCCUAAGGUAGCGAAAUUCCUUGUCGGGUAAGUUCCGACCUGCACGAAUGGCGUAAUGAUGGCCAGGCUGUCUCCACCCGAGACUCAGUGAAAUUGAACUCGCUGUGAAGAUGCAGUGUACCCGCGGCAAGACGGAAAGACCCCGUGAACCUUUACUAUAGCUUGACACUGAACAUUGAGCCUUGAUGUGUAGGAUAGGUGGGAGGCUUUGAAGCGUGGACGCCAGUCUGCGUGGAGCCAACCUUGAAAUACCACCCUUUAAUGUUUGAUGUUCUAACGUUGGCCCCUGACCGGGGUUGCGGACAGUGUCUGGUGGGUAGUUUGACUGGGGCGGUCUCCUCCCAAAGCGUAACGGAGGAGCACGAAGGUUAGCUAAUCCUGGUCGGACAUCAGGAGGUUAGUGCAAUGGCAUAAGCUAGCUUGACUGCGAGCGUGACGGCGCGAGCAGGUGCGAAAGCAGGUCAUAGUGAUCCGGUGGUUCUGAAUGGAAGGGCCAUCGCUCAACGGAUAAAAGGUACUCCGGGGAUAACAGGCUGAUACCGCCCAAGAGUUCAUAUCGACGGCGGUGUUUGGCACCUCGAUGUCGGCUCAUCACAUCCUGGGGCUGAAGUAGGUCCCAAGGGUAUGGCUGUUCGCCAUUUAAAGUGGUACGCGAGCUGGGUUUAGAACGUCGUGAGACAGUUCGGUCCCUAUCUGCCGUGGGCGCUGGAGAAUUGAGGGGGGCUGCUCCUAGUACGAGAGGACCGGAGUGGACGCAUCACUGGUGUUCGGGUUGUCAUGCCAAUGGCACUGCCCGGUAGCUAAAUGCGGAAGAGAUAAGUGCUGAAAGCAUCUAAGCACGAAACUUGCCCCGAGAUGAGUUCUCCCUGAGACUUUAAGUCUCCUGAAGGAACGUUAAAGACGAUGACGUUGAUAGGCCGGGUGUGUAAGCGCAGCGAUGCGUUGAGCUAACCGGUACUAAUGAACCGUGAGGCUUAACCUU
rnacentral:rRNA from 1 species